rnacentral:rRNA from 1 species
UACGGAGGGUGCAAGCGUUGUUCGGAAUCACUGGGCGUAAAGCGCGUGUAGGCGGCUAUCUAAGUUUGAUGUGAAAGCCCUGGGCUCAACUCAGGAAGUGCAUUGGAUACUGGAUAGCUGGAGUACCGGAGAGGAGGGUGGAAUUCCUGGUGUAGCGGUGAAAUGCGUAGAUAUCAGGAGGAACACCGGUGGCGAAGGCGUCCCUCUGGCCGGAUACUGACGCUGAGACGCGAAAGCGUGGGGGAGCAAACAGG